CUGAGAUGUCCGCUUUCUUCUAAAUUGAAGAAGCAGUUGUAGGUGAGUAUUCACUUGUGCUGCUCUGCUAACACGUGCGAUUGGCAAUGUGGUGAUGUGGGAGCUCAGGUUUUAUGUGGCCAUCUUAAAAGUCAGACUAUGUCCCUGGAAGCCUGCUUCUUAAUGAGAGACUAUUUGCCACAUACCUUCUUCAUGAGAUCUUGGGAACAGUUGCGUUUAUUAGACCAAAGAUUCAAAUAGUAAUUUGCUUACAAAAAAACAUCCAGCAAUGUAAGUUUUAUUUGUGUGGAUGCUUCACCCCUUCGUCAACCUGGAGAUAAAUUCUGAACCGCCUAAAAAUCCAGUAGACAAGUUUACAUGUGAACAUCUGCCAAAUUAGGAUUAUGACUAUUAAAAAUUGCCUCCAUGCUACAUUUGCACCACUAGAGCCCUGAUUAAUAUUUUUUCCCCCCAGGUGUCUGACCUGACAUUACAUAGUUACAUAGCUGAAAAGAGACUUGUGACCAUCAAGUUCAGCCUUCCUCACAUAUGUUUUUGCUGUUGAUCCAAAAGAAGGCAAAACACUCAGUCUGAAGCGCUUUCAAUUUUGCCACAAACUAGGGGGAAAAAAAUCCUUCUUGACCCCAAAACGGCAGUCAGAUAUCUCCUUGGAUCAAGCAGCUAUUAUCCUACUAAUUUAAAAUUAUAUCCCUGUAUGUUCUGUUUGGAAGUAUUUAUCCAUUGCUGUUUAAACACUGUAUGGACUCUGAUAAAACCACAUUGAACUAGAUAUGAUAUGAAGUACAUUUACUUGUUAGAGGUUCUGAGCAGGGUAGAACACUGAUAUUUUACAAAAUAAGAAAAGAUUGGGAGAGAGUACUUAUUGCACAUAUUGUCAUUUUGUGUCUGACAUACCCUGUUUGUCACUUGCCACCAUAAAAAAAUGACCCCAUUAUGUUUCUCUUUCUGGGAAGUUUCAUAUGCACAUGCUUCAAAAGGAUAUCCAUAUGAGCAUUGUGGCAAACCCUGCGAAUGCCCUGAAACUAUCGAAAGAGAGACCACCCCGGUGUGAUCGUGUCUCUCCUAUUAACAAAAGAUACAAUGUUGCGAAGUGUGUUAAGUGCGAGUGUGUGUGGCCGCCAUUUCGCCUACCGAACACGUGGCGGCGGCCAUCUUACGCACGAACAGCGUUACUUGGUCGUCGAACGCCUGGAACUCAAACCGAGUACCACUAAGACCUCCAGCACGCUCAAAAGGCACGAAACAAUCACACGAACACCUCAGCAUUCGGUAUGUGGAAUCCCACGAAUGAGGGGAUUCUUUCGAAUGGUAAAGGAAGC